GACGAACGCUGGCGGCGUGCCUAAUACAUGCAAGUAGAACGCUGAAGGAGGAGCUUGCUUCUCCGGAUGAGUUGCGAACGGGUGAGUAACGCGUAGGUAACCUGCCUGGUAGCGGGGGAUAACUAUUGGAAACGAUAGCUAAUACCGCAUAACAGUAGAUAUUGCAUGAUAUCUGCUUGAAAGGUGCAAUUGCAUCACUACCAGAUGGACCUGCGUUGUAUUAGCUAGUUGGUGAGGUAACGGCUCACCAAGGCGACGAUACAUAGCCGACCUGAGAGGGGGAUCGGGCACACUGGGAAUGAGACGAGGCCCUAACUUCUUAGGGAAGGAACAGUUGGGGAUUUUUGGCGAAUGAAGGAAGUCUGAACGGGCAACGGCGCGUGAGAGAAGAAGGUUUUCGGAUCGGAAAGCUCUGUUGUAAGAGAAGAACGAGUGUGAGAGUGGAAAGUUCACACUGUGACGGUAUCUUACCAGAAAGGGACGGCUAACUACGUG
rnacentral:rRNA from 1 species